ACAUGCACAUAUCUUAUCUUCUCAAUCUCCAGUCUAUAUAAGGGCUGCUAGGUUACGACUAUGGAUACAUAUAAAUUAUAUAAAAUGGAGCGUUCCAUGCGUUUAUUUCCAACCGCCUUCGUCUUCCUGCUGCUUUUGGUGGCCACCGGGACGAUGGUUGCUGAGGGUAGGACCUGCGAGUCUCAGAGUAAUCGCUUCAAAGGAACCUGCGUGAGUAAAAGUAACUGUGCUGCUGUUUGCCAAACAGAGGGCUUCCCCGGAGGCAAUUGUCGUGGCUUACGCCGUAGAUGCUUUUGCACUAAACAUUGUUAAUUAGCUAAUUAAUUAAGCUAGUGAUGAGCUGAUCACUUAUCACUUAAUUAUCAGUGGAUGCAUGGACGUAGGUACUU